rnacentral:rRNA from 1 species
AAACUGAAGAGUUUGAUCAUGGCUCAGAUUGAACGCUGGCGGCAUGCCUAACACAUGCAAGUCGAACGGUAACAGGCCUUCGGG